CGCGGGGUGGAGCAGCCCGGUAGCUCGUCAGGCUCAUAACCUGAAGGUCACAGGUUCAAAUCCUGUCCCCGCAACCA
rnacentral:tRNA from 983 species